rnacentral:rRNA from 1 species
UACGUAGGGGGCAAGCGUUGUCCGGAUUUAUUGGGCGUAAAGAGCGUGUAGGCGGCCUGAAAGGGCAGCUGUGAAAACUCGAGGCUCAACCUCGAGACGUCGGUUGAAACCAUCUGGCUAGAGUCCGGAAGAGGAGUGUGGAAUUCCCGGUGUAGCGGUGAAAUGCGCAGAUAUCGGGAAGAACACCCGUGGCGAAGGCGGCACUCUGGGACGGUACUGACGCUGAGACGCGAAAGCGUGGGGAGCGAACAGG